UGAUGUAUUUGCAGUUGAAGGAACAGUUUAAUUGUUUAGAUACCCGUGUAUCGAAUCUGGAAUCUGUCAUUUCCAGUAAACCCAAUUCAUCACAGGACGAAGGAACCAUUGGAUGAUCGAAGCUCCUGAUUUCUUGCAGCAUGUGCAUAUGCUCCCCUUACGGAUUUCUCGUCUUUUUUUCUGUAUGAAGAUGGGAAAUUUGUACCAAAUACACAUAUUACAUGAGUUUUCUUCAGCUUUUCACUUUUGACUGAUACAGCAAUGUUAUAAAUUGUUUCCUGUCUAUGUAAGAGUGAAAAUUGUUGUUUUGUGAAGUUGACAUUUCUGGUGCAACUCAGUCCAAGAUUUAUUUGUUACUCAGUCCGAGAAGUUAUGAGAAAAUGCAUUUCGCUCCCUAGAAAUUUUCAAUUUUCGCACUUCCCCCUUCAAAAUUUUAUUCAAGAUGCACUUUGUCCCAAAUCACAAAUUCCGGUGUAUUUUUCAUUUGAAUUGUCGUAAGAUAGUCCACUUGAAGGGCUUUUGAGUCA